rnacentral:lncRNA from 1 species
AGGCGAGGGCGUGGGAGGCGCGGCAAGUCUGUUCAGCCAAAAGGUGUAAACCCUAGGGCGCCCCCACCCCUCUAUUUAUAGAGGUUCCUGAUGGGCCUCUGGAUCCGAGGCCCAUUAGCACUCCUAAACCUAAUCCAACUCGGAUCAAAUCCGAAUUGGGCUUCCAGCCCCUUAAGUGUGCGACCCUAUGGGUUCGGAUACGUAUAGACAUGGCCCGAGUACUCCUACUCGGCCCAAUAGUCGGUAGCGGCCUCUAGCAAGACGUGCCAACUCCUAUACGCAUACGAAGAUCAUAU